UGUAAAGCUUUUGCGGUGUGGGAUGGGCCCGCGGCCUAUCAGCUUGUUGUAGGGUAAUGGCCUACCAAGGCGACGACGGGUAGCCGGCCUGAGAGGGUGACCGGCCACACUGGGACUGAGAUACGGCCCAGACUCCUACGGGAGGCAGCAGUGGGGAAUAUUGCACAAUGGGCGCAAGCCUGAUGCAGCGACGCCGCGUGAGGGAUGACGGCCUUCGGGUUGUAAACCUCUUUCAAUAGGGACGAAGCGCAAGUGACGGUACCUAUAGAAGAAGGACCGGCCAACUACGUG
rnacentral:rRNA from 1 species